GCGCAGCAGGCGAGAAUCCUUCGCAAUGCGGGAAACCGCGACGAGGGGACUCCCAGUGCCUACGCUCAGCGUAGGCUGUUCCCGAGCCUAGAAAGCUCGGGGAGUAAGGGCUGGGUAAGACGGGUGCCAGCCGCCGCGGUAAUACCCGCAGCCCGAGUGGUGGCCACUAUUAUUGGGCCUAAAGCGUCCGUAGCCGGCCCGGUAAAUGCCUGGGUAAAUCGUGAGGCCUAACCUCACGAAUUCCGGGUAGACUGCCGGGCUAGGGACCGGAGGAGGGAGAGGGGUACCCCAGGGGGUAGGGGUGAAAUCCUGUAAUCCCUGGAGGACCACCGGUGGCGAAGGCGCUCUCCUAGGACGGGUCCGACGGUGAGGGACGAAAGCCAGGGGAGCGAACCGGAUUAGAUACCCGCGUAGU
rnacentral:rRNA from 1 species